rnacentral:tRNA from 1 species
GCUGACGUAGCUCAAUUGGCAGAGCACCUGAUUUGUAAUCAGGAGGUCGCGAGUUCGAUUCUCGCCGUCAGCUC